rnacentral:rRNA from 1 species
GGUGAACGCUGGCGGCGUGCUUAAGACAUGCAAGUCGAACGGCAGUCUUCGGACUGUAGUGGCGCACGGGUGAGUAACGCGUAACUGACCUACCCCAAAGUCGCGGAUAACGAUUCGAAAGAAUCGCUAAUACGUGAUGUGCUGUCAGAUUGUGUUCUGCCAGUAAAGAUUGAUUGCUUUGGGAUGGGGUUGCGUUCCAUCAGCUAGUUGGUGGGGUAAAGGCCCACCAAGGCGACGACGGAUAGCCGGCCUGAGAGGGUGGCCGGCCACAGGGGCGCUGAGACACGGGUCCCACUCCUACGGGAGGCAGCAGUUAGGAAGCUGCCACAAUGGGCGAAAGCCUGAUGGAGCGACGCCGCGUGAGGGAUGAAGGUCUUCGGAUCGUAAACCGCUGAAUCAGGGACGAAAGACACUUCGGUGGGAUGACGGUACCUGAGUAAUAGCACCGGCUAACUCCGUGCCAGCAGCCGCAGUAACAC